UACGUAGGCAGCAAGUGUUGUUCGGAAUUACUGGGCGUAAAGAGUGUGUAGGCGGUGCUCUAAGUUCGGUGUGAAAUCUCCCGGCUCAACUGGGAGGGUGCGCUGAAAACUGGGGUGCUCGAGGGUGGGAGAGGUAAGCGGAAUUCCUGGUGUAGCGGUGAAAUGCGUAGAUAUCAGGAGGAACACCGAUGGCGAAGGCAGAUCUCUGGGCCGUAACUGACGCU
rnacentral:rRNA from 1 species